UGUUGUGUCCCUAAAAUUGGGGGUGACCUUAGCUUCCGUGUCUUUGCAUUUUUUUCAGUCCCUACUAUGGGUUGGGACAAAAAAAAAAGAAAAAGAGAGAGUCUAUUUUCUAAACAAAUCGAACAUCAGGUAAACUUUUUCAACUCCAAUUCGACCAGAAUACCAUGCUGCCCUUUCUUUUCUUUUCCUCUCAAGUCCCGACUCCCCCAAAUCAGAUUUUUUGACUCUUGUUCCAAAUUUCUUUUGCAUUGCAGCUGAUACUUGUGUUUUCAUUUAUGCAGUUGUAGACAUUACUCUGUGCUUUGGAAAAGCCAGCCCAUCUAUUUUAUAAGCUACCUGCAUUGGUUUUAUGCUGAGAUUGCUGGCUAAAAACUUAAAUAUGAUGACUGAAUGGAUAGAAAACAGCAUAUAGCAAUUUUUACC
rnacentral:lncRNA from 1 species